rnacentral:rRNA from 1 species
UGCAGCCGAGCGGUAUUGUUUCUUCGGAAAUGAGAGAGCAGCGUACGGGUGCGGAACACGUGUGCAACCUGCCUUUAUCUGGGGGAUAGCCUUUCGAAAGGAAGAUUAAUACUCCAUAAUAUAUUGAACGGCAUCGUUUAAUAUUGAAAGCUCCGGCGGAUAGAGAUGGGCACGCGCAAGAUUAGCUAGUUGGUGAGGUAACGGCUCACCAAGGCGAUGAUCUUUAGGGGGCCUGAGAGGGUGAUCCCCCACACUGGUACUGAGACACGGACCAGACUCCUACGGGAGGCAGCAGUGAGGAAUAUUGGUCAAUGGGUGCAAGCCUGAACCAGCCAUCCCGCGUGAAGGACGACUGCCCUAUGGGUUGUAAACUUCUUUUGUAUAGGGAUAAACCUACCCUCGUGAGGGUAGCUGAAGGUACUAUACGAAUAAGCACCGGCUAACUCCGUGCCAGCAGCCGCGGUAAU